rnacentral:rRNA from 1 species
AGCGAACGCUGGCGGCAGACCUAACACAUGCAAGUCGAACGAACCCUUCGGGGUUAGUGGCGGACGGGUGAGUAACACGUGGGAACGUGCCUUUAGGUUCGGAAUAACUCAGUGAAACUUGUGCUAAUACCGAAUGUGCCCUUCGGGGGAAAGAUUUAUCGCCUUUAGAGCGGCCCGCGUCUGAUUAGCUAGUUGGUGAGGUAAUGGCUCACCAAGGCUACGAUCAGUAGCUGGUCUGAGAGGAUGACCAGCCACAUUGGGACUGAGACACGGCCCAAACUCCUACGGGAGGCAGCAGUGGGGAAUCUUGCGCAAUGGGCGAAAGCCUGACGCAGCCAUGCCGCGUGGAUGAUGAAGGUCUUAGGAUUGUAAAAUCCUUUCACCGGUGAAGAUAAUGACUGUAGCCGGAGAAGAAGCCCCGGCUAACUUCGUGCCAGCCGCCGCGGUAAAAC